rnacentral:lncRNA from 1 species
CACGGCUCUGCAUGUGCCCCUUUCAAUCUUGGACUUGAACUCUCUUGGUUAAAAACGUGGUUUUGGUCUGUGUAGAAGGAAACACUUUUUCCAGGCUUGUUCAAUUCCAUCACCACAAGCUGUCAUAAAUUGCUUCAUUAUCUCAAGUGCUGAUGGAUCUGACUUGGCAAGGGUGCUUCCCAGGAGUUUUUGAAAUGAAGUUUCACCAUGUUACUCAUAAUGACCGGUAACUUGUGACCCUCUUACCCCUGCCUGGGGUUACUGGAAUUCAUCACCAGACCCAUUUAAUUUCUGUAAGUUUUUAUUCCCCCCCACCUAAAUGGGCAAAUUCUGUGCUCUUCCUAUAGGCAUGUGUUUAUGGGUAGAAUCAUUCUCGAGUGUUUAUUUCAUAAAGCUUCAAAGCAAAACAGUCAUCUCAUAAAAAUUCUCUCAGUAUCACUCUGACAAAUACGUUUCCAUAGGGAGCACACAGGAUGAUCUGAUCUGCAAGCUUGAAGAGUCCCCUGAGAGUGAUGGGUGACCAGGCCAUUGUUCUCUUGAGAGCUCAUCUUCUUACACAAAGUCGUAAGACCUCUCUAGUAUCUGCAGCUAGCUAGUAACACUGGAAGUGAGCAGAGCUGGAGGCAGCUAAAAUCUCUGACCUUUUUCCUUGACUUCUUCCAGGACUGUACUGGUUUGUUGUGUUCACUAUCUGAGAGGGCCAGGAGAAUAUCAAGACAGGCCCCUAAUACCUCAGUUACGAACUAGGUCUCAGUUCGAAACAAAGGGCAAUCAAUGCCCCUGACAUCUGGGCCAACAGUCCUUUCCCUCCCACAAGUGAUGACCAAAUAAGGACAAAGCCUGGGACUUGUCCAGACCUUCCCAAGACCGGAAAAAACUAUAGUCUUAGCCCACCCCUGCUGUUAGACCCCCGAAAACUCAAGUAUCCGGGGUCUCAGGCCAGGUUCGCGGUCACCCCAAUCACCAGGCGGAUUCGAGAGCUUGCUGCAAACUGCACGAGGCUUUAUUGUAAUUUAACGAACUAACCCCAUGUUAGCUCGGGUCUUUCACCCACCCGCCACGGCAGACAGCUAGAAAAGACGGCUCCUAAGGUCUCCCCAAAGAUCUUAUAGGGCAGCGUAAGGGGAGUGUCUAGGGGUACGCACAGGCUUACGAUUGGUGUGCCUCCAGGCUUGGAGGGCUUGCCCUGUGUUGAUUGGUCAACUGGUUGUUAUGGCUCAUAGGCCCUCCCAGGGUGGUUGCUAUGCUCUUACGUCAUUGUCGUGCGCUUGUCCGUAAAGCACACCCAGGGUCGUAAAGCAUAGCGCCACCAGCUAACUUCCGAUUGGCUCCUUGUCACAAGACAGGCAUCUGACCUCUACGUGACCAAGGCAGGUUUAUGGCAAGCACGUGUUCGGCUGUUAUGGCUGCCAAAAGGAAGCUGGUUCCUUCAUUCCCCCAUUUUCUUUUUUGUAAAUUCCAAUCAUGGAAUUGCUGUCUCUCUAGCAUCCCCAUCAGGGAGUGAUAGAUACUGGCAUCCCCAUGUAAGGGAGUUCCUUUUGACUUAGCAUUUUAACCAGGGAAAAUGGGCGUCGAAAUUCUUUUCCAAACUGCUUCCUGCUGACUUUGGGACGAAGUUAGGGACCCCAGAAGGUUGAAAUGCUAGUCAAAAGCAAAAAGGAAUUUAGGCAAUGGGGAAUUUAUCAGGGGCUUCUGGUUAGCAGACACUGUUGCAGAGACAGGGGGUGUCCACAUCAGCUGACUGGUUCACAUCCACAGUAAGUCCAGGGCUCGCAGUCUACUUAGAACAGCCUGUAGUCCGCAACUGAUACUCAGAUGUCUGCCAGAAGCAGAAACCUGUUUAAGACAUGUUUAAACUAGGAACAGAGGUUAAAGCUUAUUUACUGAAGUCCACAGUGUAGAAAAAGCAGAUAUCUGGAUAUCUGUUUAAACAGCAGGAACAUACUUAGCAAAAACUACAGAUUUGGGCUAUAAGCAUGUACAUUUUUCUUCUGUCCAGAGUGUCAGGUAUGGAUUGGACAGAGGUGCCUUUGGCCUGAUGAAAAGCCCUUUAAGUUUGUACUUAGAUGACAACCAAAAUAAACUUAAAAACUUUGAGCUUGUGCCUGAACAGUAGAUAGUUACUAUUUUAUCAGCUAACAUACUGACUAGUCUAUAGUGGAUCUGACUGCCUGAUGCUGUCAAGCUGACAACCAGUAAUAUUUCAGAGAUCUGAGAAGGGUAUAUUUUAUCUGAAUCUAUUAAAAAGUGACAGAAGCCAGUUAGAAGCCAGUCCAUAUACAGUUAGCCAAACCCAAGUUUCUCCAUUACCGCUGGAGGCAGGUGCAGGAACUGAGGUGCCUCGUAAUCUUCUUUGGAGACUUUGGGUCACUGUCCGGAUCUGGCAGUCUGUCUGACAUUAUAAACUUUAAAGAUAACAAUUUAAAUGCCAUAUUCUGAAGAUCUCUGAAGCAUUAGAGGUCUGUUUUAGUUACUUUUCUUAAGCAUACAAGAAGCACACAGGUGGCUAGGUAAAGUCUUACUUCUGUAAUACAGCUGAACUUAAAACUAUAUAGAGCUAUCUUAUAUUUCUUAAACAGUAGCUUAACUUCUUUCUGAGGCAGGGUUUUUCUGUGACUUUGGAGCCUGUCCUGGAAUUCGAUCUGCCGGACCAGGCAGGCCUUGAACUCAUAAAGAUCCAUUUGCCUCUUACUCCCGAGUGGUGGGAUUAAAGGCGUGUGCCACCUACACCCUGAGCUUAAAGGUGUGUGUUACCAACAUCUUAAACUUAACUUCUGAAAACACAAACUGUAACAGAUUAGCAUCUUUUAUAAAACAAGAACUUUACAUUGUCAGGCUUUGCUUAAGAAUAAUUCUAAAUUGAAGCUCUUUAAGUAUAAACAUUAAUAAAAACAAACAUUUGAAAACUGGUUUUAAAAAGAAAUUUAAAUUCCCUUAAGGUCUUUCUGUAAUAUAUAGAAGCAUUAACAUUUUAAAUCUUAAUUGAAAAACUUGUUUCUAAGAUGGUACCUCUAAUUUCCAUGGGGUCACCUUUAGUCAAGAUGGCGGCUUAAGUAUUCUUUUUUUAACUUUAGCAAAAUGGCGACCAGUCAAGUCAUGUGACCAGUUGGCCAUGUGCUGGCUAAACCAGGAAACAGAACAUUUUAAAACAAGUAUAUAUAAAUUAUUUGAGAAAUAAACAGGACUUUUUUUAAAAAUAAAAUCAGCUUAAUAUGAUUAAAAUUUUAAUUUAUAUUAUUAUUUUUAAAAUUUACUGUUUGUAGACAUGAGAAACCAUAGCACAGUUUACAUUUUUUUUUUCACUUGUAACAACCUUUUCCCUGACCUUUGACAACUUUCCUCUGACCUUCUAUAACUUAUUUUAACCCUCUAUAACUUUCUGUAACAAUCUUUUUCUCUGACCUCCAACAACUUGCUUUAACCCUCUAUAACUUUUACCAUUUGUUUUAACUCUCUAUAAUCUUUUAUUUUAUUUCUCUGACUUUCUUAGACAUUCUUAGAUAAUUUUUUUUCUCUUUAUUACUUGUCUUUUACAUUUUUUUUUAUUUUUUAGUUAACAUAAAAAUUUUGUCAAAGUCCCUUUUAUAGUUCUUAAUAACUUUAAGGCCCCCCUUUUUUUUUUUUUUGAAUAUCCGGAUCAGGACAGAUGGUUCAUCUGCCUGAGCUAGCUCCAUGUGCUCAAGGCAGAGAGACCUGGGGUGGGGGUGCUGCUGGUAACCCCAGACCCUUGGCCAAUCCAGGGGUGGGAAAAAGACUCCUGCGGCCCCCCUGCAUACCAUGUGUGUGGAGCACAGAAAGACGGGUAGCAGAUCUCAGCCUUGUAGCCAUGUUCCCCCAGAGCAGGGAAACAGCCAUAACGGCAGCUGGGGCAGAAACAGUCCUACUGGGCAUGCCUCAGACCCGCAGGUGGGGAUAGAAAGGGGGUGGCGUGGUGGAUCCUGAAUUGAAAACCAAUGAUGAUAACACAGAAUAGACAGGAAAGAACAGACGCCAACCCAAUCCGCCCACGCUGCUCAUAAGGCAAUGGCGCCGGGAAGACGGCGGCAGAACUCGGCGGCUAACUGAGGCGGGUCCAAGUGUCCUUGGCCCGAGUCCAUACCUCCUGGGUCCUGGGUGUCCUCAGAGUGGCAGUCUGUCCACAGGGCGUAUCUGCCGAUCACAGUUGAGGUGGCGCCACGUGCUCAGAGAAUCAAGAAAAGACCCCUGACCCCCUGACCCAUGCAUGCCACGUGCAUAGGGAGAGCAGGGACAGAAAGAGAUGCUUAAGAAACACAUAACACAAAUGACAGCACAUUAGACAGCACAAACAUUAGACAGGACAAACCGCGGCAAAGAAAUGGUGCCCCAAACCAAAAUUACAACCAAACCUUGGACUUUCAUCCAGGGUGGAACCAAGGUUCUCGCAAGUCUGCUUACCCUAUGGUUCAAUUACAAAUUCUGCGCAGAUCAAAUACAAAUUACAAAUUCUGCGCAGAUCAAAUCAAGCAACCCUCGGACUUUCAUCCAGGGCAGGACUUCAGGGUCUUCCCCAGAAGUCCGAAUUACAAAUACAAAUUCUGCGCAGAUCAAAUCAAGCAACCCUCGGACUUUCAUCCAGGGCAGGACUUCAGGGUCUUCCCCAGAAGUCCGAAUUACAAAUACAAAUUCUGC